CGUGACUAUCUAAAUUAGAAUCAGUGUUGACGACACAGUAGCUCCUCUCGUCCCUUGCCAUUCAUGGCAGUGACCUCCCAGAGGCAGCGCGUACAAGAGUCUCUAAUCUUUUACAACGAAGCCACGGUGCAGACGUUCAGUAGCAACUAUCCGGUAAAAUUUGUGUUAUGUAGAGCUGCUGCGAGCUGCAGAUUCUGGCGGGCUGAUUUAAUAAAAGAACGGCAUCGAAUAGAAUGAAGAAGUUGAUUAACUAAUUGUGAGAGUAGAAAAACUAUAGCUUUAACGCUGCCAGAGAAAAUAUUGAACUGCAAAAGAUUCAAAUGGUGUUAUUAAUACUAUUAUAAUUAGACGGCGAAUGUUUAUGAUUCACUAUCAACUACUACUAAUCAGAGUUUAGUAAAAUGAAAAUUCUAAUAAAGCUGGAUACACAGUUACAGUGGCAGAGAGAAACAGAUGAAGGGGGAGAAAGAGAGAAGGAUAGUUAAAUGUCGAAAGCCACAAAUUUCGAUCGCGCGUCCCCAAACCAUCUGUCGAUCGAGUAUCUUCAAUUUUUAUUGAAAUUGUAACAUUUAUUACAACUGACGAGGACGUAAACUGUAAAACGAUGAAUCAUCGAAAGGUUAUUCAAACUAAGUACACUCUCAACACUCACUUGACAUUUAUAAUUGCUGAACAAGGAAUUCCCAAAUUAGGAAUAAUAUGUAGUUAUUAUAAGAAAAACUAAGCAGUAUCAAUAUCUUAUAAAAAAUAAAAUUAUUUAAAACAUUCAGAUGUACCGUGAAGUGGUUCGCAGGAAUGUUCCUGAAGUUCCGUUGUAGCAACUUACGUACGUUGAAUGCAUUCACCCUAUUUUCACGACGUGUACUCGUACAGCAGUCUAAUUCUUCCCUCAGAAUACUUGAAGUACACGACGAACACGUUCCACUCGUUCAUCAGACGCGCGCGGUCUUCCGGGACUUUUAUCUUUACACAAACUACCACUUGUUUCAAAUUUCUUCUAAGGUUUCCCCGGACGAGUUCGAAACUCCCGUUGCACAACCAUAAUGGCUACUUUUCCGCUUAAUUGAAAAUAUGUAACGGCUUCUUCCUUGCGCACACAGCAUUCAAACUUAGUAUAUAGCCACGUGGUAUAGCGGCGCGAAACAGAUAGUUUGAACUGUUUACGUUUCGUCUCUAGCACUGUAUCGCAAAACCUAGUAAGUAAAAAUGUCUAUUACCGAUGGUAAAGGUCUCCUUGCAGUCUCCAAUUAAACAUGAAUUAUGUGGUUACAAUACAUUACCUGAAUUUGUUUCAGAAAAUCACGUUAAGAAUUUGAAAUAGGUAGUUACAUAUGCACUGGAGAAAGUUCCAGAAGACUAUGUAUGUUUGAUGAAUGAGUGAGACGUGCUCGUGCAUUGUGCAUUUGUUAUUAUCAAUAAUAAACCUUUGAACAUUACUUUACGGCAUAAGAAUGAAAUGUUUAUUGGUUUUCAUUGUAACAUCACCGGAAACUUUCAUACAAUAAAUCAUUAUGUUUCUACUUCUGAGGUUUCAUUACAAUUAACACUAGAUUUACAGACAUUUUUAUGUACCUAUUUCUACCAACAUGGGUUAAUUUGAUUCGUGAACAAAAUCACACAUUUUCUUUAAAAAACAAUUUAAAAAACAUCAU